GCCGGGUUUGUGGUGGCUCGCCUGAAUCCAAGUUACUUGGAGGCUGAGACUGCGUGGAUUGUUUGAGCUCAGACUCGAGCAUCAGUGGACUAUGCGAUCGGUGUCCCAAUAAGUUCGGUAUCGACUUAUGGUGCUCCUGGGGGCAGGCCGGGACCACCAGGGUCGUCUAAAAGGAGAGCGUGCACCGGCCCAGUCGGGAAACGGCGAGCCAGGCCAAAAGCCCCGUGCGGCCUCAGAGUUGGAUCGCGCCGGAAGAGAGGCUGUAGUGAAGCCUGGAGUAAUACAGCGGACCCAGUCUUUU
rnacentral:SRP_RNA from 1 species